rnacentral:rRNA from 1 species
GACGAACGCUGGCGGCGUGCCUAAUACAUGCAAGUCGAACGCUGAAGAGAGGAGCUUGCUCUUCUUGGAUGAGUUGCGAACGGGUGAGUAACGCGUAGGUAACCUGCCUUGUAGCGGGGGAUAACUAUUGGAAACGAUAGCUAAUACCGCAUAACAAUGGAUGACACAUGUCAUUUAUUUGAAAGGGGCAAUUGCUCCACUACAAGAUGGACCUGCGUUGUAUUAGCUAGUAGGUGAGGUAAUGGCUCACCUAGGCGACGAUACAUAGCCGACCUGAGAGGGUGAUCGGCCACACUGGGACUGAGACACGGCCCAGACUCCUACGGGAGGCAGCAGUAGGGAAUCUUCGGCAAUGGGGGCAACCCUGACCGAGCAACGCCGCGUGAGUGAAGAAGGGUUUCGGAUCGUAAAGUUCUGUUGUAAGUCAAGAACGGGUGUGAGAGUGGAAAGUUCACACUGUGACGGUAGCUUACCAGAAGGGGACGGCUAACUACGUG